UAAUACCAGCACCCCGAGUGGUCGGGACGUUUAUUGGGCCUAAAAGCAUCCGUAGCCGGUUCUACAAGUCCUCCGUUAAAUCCACCUGCUUAACAGAUGGGCUGCGGAAGAUACUAUAGAGCUAGGAGGCGGGAGAGGCAAGCGGUACUCGAUGGGUAGGGGUAAAAUCCGUUGAUCCAUUGAAGACCACCAGUGGCGAAGGCGGCUUGCCAGAACGCGCUCGACGGUGAGGGAUGAAAGCUGGGGGAGCAAACCGGAUUAGAUACCCGGGUAGUCCCAGCUGUAAACGAUGCAGACUCGGUGAUGAGUUGGCUUCUUGCCAACUCAGUGCCGCAGGGAAGCCGUUAAGUUUGCCGCCUGGGGAGUACGGUCGCAAGACUGAAACUCAAAUGAAUUGA
rnacentral:rRNA from 1 species